rnacentral:rRNA from 1 species
AGUGAACGCUGGCGGCGUGCUUAACACAUGCAAGUCGAACGAGAACGGAUUAUAGCUUGCUAUAAUUGUCAGCUAAGUGGCGCACGGGUGAGUAAUGUAUAGGUAAUAUGCCUCUUACUAAGGGAUAACAAAUGGAAACGUUUGCUAAUACCUUAUACUCCUUAUUAACAGAAGUUAAUAAGGGAAGGCUUUAUUGGUAAGAGAUUAGCCUGUAUUGUAUCAGUUAGUUGGGGGGGUAAUGGCUUACCAAGACUAUGACACAUAACUGGUUUGAGAGGCUGAUCAGUCACACUGGAACUGAGACACGGUCCAGACUCCUACGGGAGGCAGCAGUGGGGAAUAUUGCACAAUGGACGAAAGUCUGAUGCAGCAACGCCGCGUGGAGGAUGACACAUUUCGGUGCGUAAACUCCUUUUAUAUGAGAAGAUAAUGACGGUAUUAUAUGAAUAAGCACCGGCUAACUCCGUGCCAGCCGCCGCCGUAA